GAUGAACGCUGGCGGCGUGCUUAACACAUGCAAGUCGAACGGUGAAAGAGAGCUUGCUCUCUGGAUCAGUGGCGAACGGGUGAGUAACACGUGAGCAAUCUGCCCCUGACUCUGGGAUAAGCGCUGGAAACGGCGUCUAAUACCGGAUACGAGCUGCGAAGGCAUCUUCAGCAGCUGGAAAGAACUUCGGUCAGGGAUGAGCUCGCGGCCUAUCAGCUAGUUGGUGAGGUAACGGCUCACCAAGGUGUCGACGGGUAGCCGGCCUGAGAGGGUGACCGGCCACACUGGGACUGAGACACGGCCCAGACUCCUACGGGAGGCAGCAGUGGGGAAUAUUGCACAAUGGGCGAAAGCCUGAUGCAGCAACGCCGCGUGAGGGACGACGGCCUUCGGGUUGUAAACCUCUUUUAGCAGGGAAGAAGCGAAAGUGACGGUACCUGCAGAAAAAGCACCGGCUAACUACGUG
rnacentral:rRNA from 1 species